rnacentral:rRNA from 1 species
UACGUAGGUGGCGAGCGUUGUCCGGAUUUACUGGGCGUAAAGGGAGCGUAGGCGGACUUUUAAGUGAGAUGUGAAAUACCCGGGCUCAACUUGGGUGCUGCAUUUCAAACUGGAAGUCUAGAGUGCAGGAGAGGAGAAUGGAAUUCCUAGUGUAGCGGUGAAAUGCGUAGAGAUAUGGAGGAACACCAGUGGCGAAGGCGGCUUCCUGGUCUGUAACUGACACUGAGGCGCGAAAGCGUGGGGAGCAAACAGGAUUAGAUACCCCCGUAGU